rnacentral:rRNA from 1 species
AAACUAGGAUUAGAUACCCUAUUAUUAAAACCUUAAAUUGGUAAGUAAUAAAGAUUAUGAAAGCAAAAAAUUAUGGCGGUAUUUUAAGCUUUUCAGAGGAAUUUGCUCUUUAAUGGAUAAAACACCUAAAUCUUACUUAAAUUUGUUAAUUCAAUUUGUAUACCACUAUAAAAACAAUUUAUAACUUUAAUUGUUGAUAUUUAUUAAAUUAAAAUAUAUUAAGUCAAGGUGCAGUAAAAAUUUAAGGAUGAAGUGAAUUACAUUACUUUUUAGAGAAAUAAAUUUAAAAUAAUAUUUAGGAUUUGAAAGUAAAAUUAAAAUAUAAUGUUAAUUUGAAUUAAGCUCUAAAAUAUGUACACAUCGCCCGUCGCUCUCAUU